UACGGAGGGUGCAAGCGUUAUCCGGAUUCACUGGGAUUAAAGGGUGCGUAGGUGGGUUGGUAAGUCAGUGGUGAAAUCUCCGAGCUUAACUUGGAAACUGCCAUUGAUACUAUCAGUCUUGAAUAUUGUGGAGGUCAGCGGAAUAUGUCAUGUAGCGGUGAAAUGCUUAGAUAUGACAUAGAACACCAAUUGCGAAGGCAGCUUACUAAACGAUUAUUGACGCUGAGGCACGAAAGCGUGGGGAUCAAACAGG
rnacentral:rRNA from 1 species